GGGGCAAUCAUCGCGCGUGGCGCCCGCAAGGGCUCAAAAGGGAAUGCGGUGCGUGCGCUCGCGCACAAGGCCGCGGCUGCCCCCGCAACUGUAAGCGGCGAGUCGAAGACCAACACAGCCACUGGGGUCGAAAGGUCCUGGGAAGGCCGGUCCGAGGCGACGAGCCGCGAGCCAGGAGACCUGCCACAAGCCGUGGUCACGC
rnacentral:ncRNA from 2 species